GGAGGGUAUUCCACGCAAGUGUAUAAAACUGCUGGCUUUCAUAUAACAUUUCACUUAGCACUUUUUGUAGUAACACACUUCCUCCUAAAGGAGGUUUGUUUUGUUUUGUUUUGAGUGUCAUUUGUAUUAGAUUUGACAGUCAGACCAAGUUGUAAUGGAUUCAGUUUGCCAUAAUGUUCAGCCAGUCAAAACAACUUAUAAGC